UUCAGGCUCUGAUGAUUGAGAAUAUGAAUCAUGUAUCACGAGGAAAAGAAACCAUUGAAGAAGCUGCACGGCAACUUUUCGUAGAGCACAUCAGUGGAGGUAAAAGGACAUGGAUCGCACCCACUUCGGAUUGUUUCUUCUUUUCUCCAGAAACCCAUCUUUUCGACUGCGGAGAUUCGGAAUCUGCAAAAACAAUCGGCAUUUCAAAAUUUUAAUUCCACUUCUCUCUCUCUCAUUUAUUUCACUUUUUAUAGAACUUAUUUUGGCGAAAUACGUAGAAAACUACGGUGAUUAUGAUACUGAAAAAAAAUAUAUAUUUGUAAAAUUUUAAUUUUUCAAAGAAAAAGAAUUAACACCCCUCCUGCUGAAAUAGCAGGCGUAAAAAGUAUGUAAACAGAAAACUCGACAUGCUAGAAACAGCAGCUAAACGACGAAUCACGUUUUCAAAAUUUGAAUUUCACCCACCCCAUUUUUUCUUUGCUUGUGAGGAGGAAAAUUAAAAUUUUGAAAACGUGUUUUUGUGUGUUCAAAAUCUUCAAUUUUUAUGUGUGCUGCAGCCGGAAAUUCUGACAAGCUAGAAACAACAGCCAAACCGAAGAUCGACUUUCUGAAUACGAAUUACCAAAGCAGAAAAAAAAAUAUUUAGUGUCAUUUUGUUGUGUGUGUGUUUGUGUUAAAAAAAAGCUAAUUUUACAUACCUCUCUUAAUUCCACAAAAGCCUUACCCACAACAUGUUCACUUUUUGUCACAGAUCCGCUGGCGGAGUGGAAAGAGUGCUGAUAUAUUUAUUUAUUUUAAAUUUGUUUUUUCUCAGAAUAUCAUAAUCUCCGUAUUUUUCAACGUAUUUCGCCAAAACAAAUUCCUUAAAUAAGUGAAAAAUUGCGGAGCGGAAAUUAAAAUUUUGAAAUGCCGAUUUUUUUUUUUGCAGAUUCGGAAUCACCGCAGUCGAAAAGGUGGGUUUCCGUAGAACCCCCCCCCCCCCCAAAAAAAAAAACGAAUGGGAGUGUGGUCCAUGUCAUUUACCUCCGCCAGAACAUCCUACAGAGAUAUCAAAAGCUACCCUAAAAAUAUCACAGUAUUAGUUACAAAACCCGAACUUAACGUUUAACUUCCGGACAAUUAAUAUGCGAAAACAAUUUAAAGUUGAUCCAAUCUAGCGCACAAACUAAGGUGGCAGACCGGCUAUAACUUAUGCAUGAUCAUUUGCAGUCUUUUGUUUGUUAAUUAAUUAUUUCACUGAAUAAUUUAAGGGACAACAUUCAAUACAAAUUCGCACAUAUACACACAUGAGAAAGACGCAAACAUGCAUAAGUUCACCAAAACCUAUCGUUUUAUCUUAGCGUUGCCUAUAUGGCAGAUGUUCCUGGUUGUGUCCUUACUGCACCCAAAAGGCUUUUAUUAGUUAUAACUCUUUUGUCACUUUAUUGUCUAAUUUUCCAUGUUCUUCCUUAGUUGUACCACAUUAUAUAUAUAUAUAUAUCUUUCCCUAUAUUUUUCUUAACACGUGGAUAUGCUGUUUAAUUGACCCAAUUGGUUUGUAUUACCCAGUCUUCAUUGUAGUACACUAUGAUAGGAUUUCUUAUAAAUCUACCAGCAUUUAUUCAGAUGCAAACUAUACUCUUGUUAAAAUGCUUCGAAAUAAAUAGGAGAUACAGUCAAGAGCUGAGCAAGGUAAUUGCCAGAGACCUAUGUGUUUUUUUCUCUAUCAUAUGUGUUUACAUUGUCG
rnacentral:lncRNA from 1 species